AUACCACAUAUGUGCCUGGUGCCCUUGGAGGUCAGAAGAGGACAUUGGAUCCCUGAAACUGGAGUUACACAUGGCUUUGAUCCACCAAGUGGGCGCUGGGAAUCGAACCCCAAGCAGUCGGUGCUCUUAACCACUGAGCCAUCUCUCCAGCCCCCUUAUUUUUCUUUUAAGAGUCUCACUACAUGGUCCUGUGGCUGUCAGAACUCUCUGUAUAGACCGGGCUGGCUUUGAGCUCACAGAGCUCUGCCCAGCCUCUGCCUCUCAAGCGCUGAGGUCAACGGCAUGCACCCCUGCCUGGCUGUGUUGGAGUUGAUCUGUCUCGUCUGACUGACUCCAGCGUGUCCUGCUAGAAGGGCCAAUCGAAGCUUCCUUCAUCAAGGCUUCAGAAGGGAGAGCACGGACCACACAUCUUUGACGAGGUCCGGGCAGCUCUUUGUCAGCUUCAUCGGAGAGCCCGGCCCGGCCCAUGCGUGUUCUGGGUGUCUCUGUCUUUUCUUCGUUCUCCUGCCGCCCUAAUCACGUCCACCCCCGAAGCCCCGCUGGAUGUGACCAACGAGAACUGUGUCUCACGAUGCGGGAGCUCAGCCACUGCUCCAACAACAAGCCUGCUUGCUGUCAUGCUCCCCGCCAUGCCUCCAGCCACGGACUCUAGCCUUCUGAAAGUCUAAGCCCCUAACGGAUGCUUCUAUAAGUUGCCUUGGCCAUGGUGUCUAGUCACAGCAACAGAGAAAUAACUAAAACAGCAGCGUAGUGGACCCCGCUUGGGGCAGGAAGACUAAGGGAUCUCGCGCGAGGCCUCCGGAUUUUGCUGCGGAGACUGUGAAGGCUGCUCCCUCGUACAACUGGACAGCUCCCACCCAGAGCUCUGGACCCCCACCCACGCACACGGGUUCUCUCUUCAGACGCGUAGGGCGUGUUUAUUUCUUUGCGAAAUGACCAACGCACUAUCCUCCUCCCCAUGUCGGGUAAAGACCGGAGAAGGAAAGAACAUGUCUUUCUCAAGGAUGUCAGGGACCCAAACAAUGCUGGGAAGGGACUCCCGGGGGUGCAGAAGAUGAAGCAGCUCAGAUCUCCUCUGAAGGAUGCAGUCCUGGGCUUCGCGGGAGGCACUUGUUAUAUCUCGUUCAUCUCCAUGACCCCGGACACGACUGGUCUCCUCCAGGACCAGGUAGGGCUCCUCGGAGGUGUAUGGGAUUCUCCAGGACAAAGGUCAGAGUUGUGGGGGUUGUAGAGGGUUAUGUCAGCACCGUUUCUCAGAGACAGGUAUCUCCUCUAGGAAAAGAGCCCAUAGUAUAAGAACCACGUCUCCCUCUUCCAGGCAUUAACCACGAACAACUCUGCAACCAUCCCCUGCUCCCCAAAGCUCUGCCCUCAUGCUCCAACCAUCUCCUCCCCCCCUAGGAUCCCCCUCCAGUCCUCAUCCAUUCCUCUUCACACUCUUUGCUCGGACUCCACCGUUUCCUCAGGAUGGGGAUACACCCUUCAGAUUGUAACCCGGUGUUUCUGCUUGUAACUCUCCCCAUCUCUGUUUCCUCCCUAUCUGCUUCUGGCUUGGAGGCCUCUGCAAUCCACCACCCCCUCCUUUCCCUAAUAACCUCGUUAUGUAUCAGGCACUCACCACGAAAAAGACGACCCCAGCAAGGAGGGCCGUGGCCAUGACAACAGAGGCCAGGGUGAUGAGGAAGAUUUCCCAAGGCUUCAGGGACCCGCGGAGCUUCCCUUCGUUGACUGGAGUUCCAGUUGUAUUGGUGACGUUGGCGGUGGUGUAUAUUCUAGUAGGAACUGCCAGGCUAGAGCUGCUGUGGCUGGCUGUCCAGCCAGACUCGGAGGCUGUGCUGGUCCCGGCUGUGAUUGAGGUUGGUGUAGACAUGGAGGCUGUGCUGGUCCCGGCUGUGUCUGAGGUUGGUGUGGAGUCAGAGGCUGUGCUGGUCCCGGCUGUGUCUGAGGUUGGUGU